UCGAGGGAUCUGUGUUUUAUGCCGAGCUAACAACUAUAUAAGGCUAUAUCAUGACUAGACAGUAAGCCCGAGGGGGAAUCUUACCCCACUGACCUUUUGUCUCAUGGUAAUUGUUUAUGCAUGAGCAUCUAUAUACGCAGACAAUUCAAAUACUAAAUUAAUUCUGUGAUAGGUGCGAGGUCAAAUCGACCCUUGGCUGUGGGAAAUCGAUUAACGUGAGGUCGAAUCUACUCAUGGUGACCCUAAGCCUGGGACAUGCACGCUAAUUAUACCGUCUUUGUUAGGGGGCACCCAUUCCCAACAACUGGGUGGAUUGACAGCAGUUCUCUGCACCCCAAGGUAUCGAACCGGCGUGCUUCGAACGACCACUGGGCAGCUCCGUGUACACGAUGUCCGUACAUCAUCCUUCGACUAGACCAUCUCUGAGCCUACCUACUGCUCAACCCUGCGCAACUUCAUAGUCAGCAUGACAGUAGAACCACGGGCGUGUAUAAUAGACAAGACAUCGCAAAUUAAUAAUAAAAAAUAUGGCCAUCAAGAACUUGGGAGAUAAUCCCGACUAAAAGAAAAAUCCAAGCGCUGUUCCGCAGAACUUGACAAAUCGAAGUGUCUUAGUGCUCAACACCAACUUCCAGAAUAUCAUCGACCAGCGAGAGACCUGAAACCAGAACGAUUGAGUUCCUUACAAUCCUGGUGAGUGGAGGAGAUAUCUCUGGGAAGAGGACUGGACAACGCUCAUUUAAUCCUUUUCCAGUUUUCUCCCUGCCAGCGAAACCUGAUUGCCACGCGCGUGUUAAUUGUGAAAUGUCCACAGUUUGUUUUAUUGUGCAGACGAUACACUUUUAAAACCUGUUUGAAUCAUUCCAUCCAAGAUAUCGGGAAUCGCGACACGUGCAGCCCGCCUGAUUGCAUUGCCAUGACUCGGAGUGUAAUCGUUGCAAAAGUGUUGACACACUUUGGAUAGACUACAGCAUUACCACAUAAAGUAAGAUAAUUUUUAAGUUGAUAAUUUUGUAUGGUCCGUGAAUAAUGUUCAAAUGGGCCAUGGCAGAGAAAAAGAUUCCCCACCCCUGGACUAGGCCAUGACGACAUGGACAGCUCAAUUGACAGCUUCGACAUACUCUUUUCCCAGUUCAUCCAUUGUGCAAGUGUCAGUCAACCGCUUCAUGUUGUACAUGUCCAGUCAUGCCAUCAUAGCUAAGAAGUAAAGAUAGUUAUAGUUAGAAAAGGUUCAAUAUAAACAGAUUUGAUGUAGACUAAUAGGCCUGCUAGAUAUAAUCUAUAGGUUAUAUUAUGUCAUUAAGUCUCACUUUCUAAGCACUUUUCUGCCCAGAAGGUAGAAUGUGUCAUAUUACCUGGAAGUGUCUUUGCUUUCAGUGAUUAUUAUAUAAUAAUAGUUGAUAUCAUGCAAACUCCAACCAGUCAACAUCUUACUUUCAUGAAUAAGGAGAAUCCUUAUAAACAUUGCAAUGUUUAAGGGUGAAAUAUGCAUUUAAUUCAACAAAAUGAUAUUGCACUGUACAUGCAACAGUGUGUCGCAACAUAAUCAUAAUACCGAGGCACGCACACACUACGCAGUUGAGAAUAAAUUUAGCGCAAAAUAUUCCUUGAUAACAUAAUUUGAUGGGUAGUUAUUAACAGAAGGGUAUAAACAUGCAUGGAAAAGAAUUUGCUUCAUAGGUUGUGCAAGAAGUGUAGUGUUAACUCCACCAAACAAUCACAUCUUUUCAGAAAAAUGAAAUAUCCAAACAUAUGCACAAAGUACCAUUUAGAUAAAGAGAAUGAAUGAGAGCUAAAUCUCUUCAUACAACAACUAAUAAAUGCAAUAUACUAAAACUUUUAAGUUUUAUGUACAAAGUGACUUUCGCUCACAAGCAUGCUCCUGUUCCUAAUACAGUGUAUGUUUCAACUAUGUAUCAUCUAAAGGAUAUAUUUUUGUAGCUCUGUGGUACAGCAUAUAUUAAUCUGCCAUCACUAAUCAAAGUGACUAAAAGAACUGAUCUCUACUUCUUUCAGUCCUUAAUUAAAGCCCUCAGCAAGCUUUCCUUCAUCAGCACUUUUUGAUGAGCCAGAACCAAAGUCUUCUGCCUUACAAAAGGAGCCAAACAUCAGCAUUAUUUAUCUAACAAGAAUGGUUGAAAGACUGAAAGUAAAUCUUUAAAGUCUAUCACUUCUCAAGUCCUUGUUGUGACAAACAGAUUUUCAAUGUCUCACAUGUUCAAAACUUUUAUAAUAAUGUUAAUAAAUAUCUAUACACAUUUCACACAUUCCACUAUUCAUAUACAGAAAUCACUGACAUGAGACCGCCAUUUUUGUCUCUCUUUAGAAGCCAAUAAACUUGGGUGAAAAACCAGAACACAAGCAUGUAAAAGGAAAGAAAAAUAGCCCAUACAAUUUAGAAAUACAUAAGAGUUGUGGUUGAGAAGACAGGAUGCUAUGAACUACAAAUUGUUACAACUGUUUCCCUUUAUAGAACCCAUGUAUAUCUGUUCAGAGACUGGUAUCUUAUGACUAGGCAAUCAAUACUUCAAUCU